ensembl:lincRNA
CACAACUGCUGAGUCAUUUAGCCAAACCUCUAGACUCCCGAAGUUGACACAAUGUAUCAACCAUAACAUUCCUCUCCCCUUUUGUUUUCCUCCCACACUUUUACUCUCUAUCCAACAUUCACAUUGGUCCCUUUUCCUUUGUGCUUGCAUCAACCCUCACGUCUGCCUUGUUAUCUCUCUCCGUGUGUUGUUCUUGCUCUCUCCUGUCACCCUUUCCCUGUCCUGCCUUCCUGCUCCUGGGCUUGGACUCCCUACUGUCUGGCUCUUCUCUACCUCUCUGCCUGGCUGCAGCCUCUGGGAUGCUGGAGAGCAGUUGUGACUCUAGGACCUGUCCUGUGAACAGCUGGGCACUGGCUCUUACUGGCUUCAUUUCCUUAGAAGAGACAGAUUCAGGGCGAAGAGCUGUGUAGUGGGAGAGCCCAGGAGAUUCUGGAAAGACACAUUCGUCUGGAUCUCGAGCUCUGGGUUUGAGACGUCAUGUUAUUGGUUUGUUUCAGGCUGGAUACUGCGAGGUGCCUCCUGCCUGACCUGUAUUAAAAAAGAGGGCUUUCAAGACCAGGUAGCACGGCUCUUUUCAGUUUGUCACGUGCAGGCUGCAAACCUUACUCGCACUGGAAAAGGUUGGAGGAAUGCGGGUUUUGAGCAGUGGACAAACUAUCUGAUUCCUUCUCCUCCUUGGGGAUGGUCUGUGGAAGGCGGCUGCAGGAGGAGGGAGGCAGGGUGAUAGGGCCGGGGAAACCAGGGGGAUCCAGGAGAAGGCUGCUGCGUGCUUGGCAGUUUCUCGGUGAUGAGAGCUCCUUUUUAUUUUUUAUUUUGCAACAGGGUCUUUUGCAUUGCCCAUGUGAUCUUCUGUGAUCUUCCUGCCUCAGCCUCCUGAGGAGCUGGGAUUACAGGUGUGCAUCAGUACACAUGGCCAAACAUUCACUUUUUAGUUUGUGACCACAAAGCUCCAGAAAUCUAGAAACCUAAAGGUGAGCUCUUCUGUAGCUAUGUGUGACCAUGGCAGUGUAAAGGAUAAAGAAAUUACAUAAAGGCAAAAUUUAUUUCAAGCACAGAAAAGCCUAGAGUUGCUCAUCCAAAGUCUCAGGAAGACAGCCCCAACCUGAAAGCUCCAUGAUUUUUUAUUGAUAACUCGAGGACAUGAGAAUAAAGAUACAGAAGAGAAACAUUUGCGCAUUUAUGUAGGACUUCUGGUCAGGGGAUGGGAAAGGAGUGAGACGGUUUGCUCUGUGACAGUGUUGACCUAAUUUAAGCAGGUUUAGUGGGUAGGAAACUUAUGAGAGGGCAGGAGGAACUCGAUGGCCAGAAGAAACAUCUCUGAGAAUUACUUCUUAUUGAUUCUGCUCAGCUGAUGUCGUUGCAGAUCUAUUCUAAUCUUUAGCCAUGCAAUCCAGGAGCCUGGGUUCCAAGGUCCCCUUCUGUUUACACUCAUUUCAAUCACUCCUCUGGUCAGAGUGCUCCACAGUUCCCUCCAUUUUUUGUUUUAUAACCAAGAUUUAGCAGAAGAGAGAGAACAGAGAAGAGGGGUAUUGGACUUGGUGUAAGACGGUCAUUAUGGCUUCCGCAUGGAGGUUCCUUUGGGACAGCAUACCGAGUGCCUUUAGGACCACAAGAAAGUAGAGAAAAAAGAUUAUUCCAAUAGCUGUAAGAAUACAAAUACAAAGUUUGCAACUAGAGAACCAGUUUUUAGGAGCUAUUAGUCAAUAUCAUUGAGAUGAUCUAGAGGUAUGCUGUGAGACUCCAUUUAAAGUUUAUGAAGUCGAGCUUGAAGUCUCUUUUGGAGAUUAGCAAUAUUUCUGUCCAGAUUUGUGUGAAUGCACCGUGGAGAAAAUGUGGAACCUCCUCCUAAGGUUCAGAGUCAUCAAAAGGAAUAGAAGUAAUUCACAUGGCGUGAUACUCAGUAUCAUGAUUAAGCCUUCCACGUGUCCAUAGGGCCUGCUGAUGUUUGCCAAGCCAGCUGACAGCAGCCCCAAAGGUCAAGUAUUUGUAGAAUUUCUUUAUCAGUGCUAUUUAAUUAAUAAAGUAAUUCUGAGGUAACAUUUUGACAAUGGCCACUCAUGGUCUGAAUAGUUUGGACAGAGUGAAUCAUAACCACCAUGUGGUUGCCACUGUAAUGGUCAAUGUAGUAGCUGCAAUAAUAGUUGGAAUUGAAAGCCCAGAAAACAUUUUUGUCUGAUAUGUUCAAGUACAGAGGUAAUUUUUAAAAAAUUUUAAACUGUUCACGAAUUUUUACCAUUCUCUCUGAAAUUCCAGACUUCUCCUAUCUUCUAUUUUUAAGUUAAUUUUAUUGGUGUAUUUUAGAUAUACAUAAUGAUAACAUUCAUCAUAUGGAAUUUCUACCUGUACAUGAUAUAUCUUGAUUCUUCUUUUUCCAGUUUUCUUCCCCUCCCUUCAAUUCUUCUUCCCCUCUUUAUCUACAAAAACUCUAUUUCUAUUUUUUAAUUCUAUUCUAUUUUUUUCUUGUCCCUUCCUUCCUUUCUCCUUCCUUCAUCCCUAGUUCCCCUUCCCAUUUGAACAUUUUCUUCCUAUUUUAUAAUAUCUAUUAUACAUUUUGGUCUUAUUUAUACUUUUGGUUUCUCAUACAGAGAAACCAUAUGAUAUUAGAACAUGUGUGUCCAUUUUAUUUCACCAUAACCCCUGAAAGGGGAUAGACAGGCUCUGAUAGUAAAAGAAGUGUUACUGGAGAAGGGUGCUCACAAUCUCCCCAGGUGAUUACAUCAAAUCCAGAAGAUGUAAGUAUAUGUACCCAAUAUGCCAUGACACUUGCAUUUGGUGUACAGCUAAACAGAAGCUUAAUAAAAAGGAACACUUUUAUCUUUGCCACAUUAGAAUUCUAGGUGACUUUUGCUGUCAUUGCCAAGAAGAAAUUUUCUAGGGUGAAAGGAAUGUCAGAGCUCUGCGGUGUUUGUUUGGCUUCAGCAAUGAGUUGUUUAAUCUCUCCCCAUCCCAAGAGGGGGUUGAAGCACCAUCUCCUGUAACUCAGGGAUAGAGCUACUUCUCUCCUGGUCCCACAUGAUAUGGAUGAACAGCAUUUGUGAGAACAAAAAGAGGACCUGUGUGUUAUACACAGGUGCAUAUCCCUCCCCCAGGUUAAUAAUUCUGUUGGGCCUAUCCAUUGUGGGCCCAACAAUGCAUGAUGGAAAAACCCCAAUGGUUUUGGCCUGUCUUUUGUGGAAAUAAAGUAUUUCUCUACACUGUGAAAUCUUCUCCUUUUUGUUUUAAUAAUUGGGCCUUAAGAGCUUAUUAACUCUUAAGGGUUAUGAGUUCUGUAGGGUUAUGAGGUAUAUCUAUGACACGGGUAGUAUACAAAGAUGAAAGAAAGUUUGAAGAGAGUAGGAGGUGUAGGCAGGGCUGUUAUUAGUUUUAACUUGUAAGAGUAAUAAAAGCUUGAGAGAAAAUGACAUGUGAAAUGUAUUGCAGUUUUAUUGGGUUGUAAAGAGGCAUAUAUAUAACCAGAGUAGGUAUGAGACUUGGAUAAAGUUGUUUACCGAAAGAUUUAUAGUGAGUCACAUCCAUUUGCCAAAUUUCAUUACUUUUUAAAUGAUUGGUAUUACCUCUAUAUAGGAG